AAGAGCUGCUAUGACUGACAUGGACUUCUUCCUUUCUGGUCACACAGAAGUCUAGAUGUCAGGGGUACACUUAGCAAGAA
ensembl:miRNA